AUAUAACUUUGAAAAUUAGUUCUCGUUUCAAGGAUGGGUCCUUGAUUUGUUCUUUGUUCUUGUUCUUGUUUCUACAUCAAGUGUAAUUCUAAGAAGGACCAGAUUCAAUGCCAAGUGAUUCAUAAAAUUGCUGAAAUAGGACCGGGUUUAAUAGUCAACCUCACUAGAAAGAUAAAGGUACUGCGGCCUGGGUAUGUUCCAGGUUCUGAAUAUUGUGCAAGAAAGUUCUAAUACUUUUAACAGUAUGUUGUAUUUUAUUGAUGUGAUGGAAUAAAACGAAUGAAUCAGUGAUUGCAAUUUCUCCUGUAUCUGUGAUUUCAUAAAUGAUGUUGAAAUCCCUUAGAACAGAAUGACCUACUCUGAGGAUCUGAUUCAAAGAGGUGGACUUCUCACUUACUUUGUAAAAUUCUUAUUUUCUUUCCUACUGAUUUGAUAUCCCUUUUUAAUCUGACAUUGAAACUUUUUAGUUCUGAACUCGUAUCUCACCCAUAUAAUUGUUUGCCUGACCACGUUAAAAGUACUAUGGUUCUGUUUCACACAAAAAUUAUGUAGUGGUAUACUUUCUUCAAUGAGCACUUUCAACUGGCCCUGCAUCUUGUUUCUGCAUCAAGCAUUUGCAUUCAUCCUCUCUAAAGAAACUAUUCUAUUCAUAAUCGAAGGCACUUUAAGAAAGUCGUGGUGUAACAUCUACAAUUGUAUCUAGGGCUGGCUCCAUCUCCAGUUCUCCACCUGCUUAUAUGUGGCAAUUGAAAAGUCAGUGGCAAAUGGUGUAGCGAUGUUGACAAUGACUGUUGAGAUUGGUUGAGGUGGUGAUUUUAGUGGUAGUGGUUGUAGGUGAUACUUGAUGCAUGCGGCUGUUGUAAAAUUGUAGCCGAGUCUUUAGAAUAUUGUUGUUUGAUUUGGAUUUUUUUUGUUGGGAAUGGUGUCAAAAAAAAAAAAAAGUAAA
rnacentral:misc_RNA from 1 species